rnacentral:rRNA from 1 species
ACGGGUGGUAAUGCCGGAUGUUCCAGUUGAUCGCAUGGUCUUCUGGGAAAGCUUUCGCGGUAUGGGAUGGGGUCGCGUCCUAUCAGCUUGACGGCGGGGUAACGGCCCACCGUGGCUUCGACGGGUAGCCGGCCUGAGAGGGCGACCGGCCACAUUGGGACUGAGAUACGGCCCAGACUCCUACGGGAGGCAGCAGUGGGGAAUAUUGCACAAUGGGCGCAAGCCUGAUGCAGCGACGCCGCGUGAGGGAUGGAGGCCUUCGGGUUGUAAACCUCUUUUAUCGGGGAGCAAGCGUGAGUGAGUUUACCCGUUGAAUAAGCACCGGCUAACUACGUGCCAGCAGCCGCGGUAAUACGUAGGGUGCAAGCGUUAUCCGGAAUUAUUGGGCGUAAAGGGCUCGUAGGCGGUUCGUCGCGUCCGGUGUGAAAGUCCAUCGCUUAACGGUGGAUCCGCGCCGGGUACGGGCGGGCUUGAGUGCGGUAGGGGAGACUGGAAUUCCCGGUGUAACGGUGGAAUGUGUAGAUAUCGGG